UAGUUACGUAAAGAUGUUUCGUUAACACUGGCAUUCUCUUGGUGUCACUGUAAAUUUUCCUUCAUUAAUUGAAAUCUCCAACCCCGCAAAUGGUUGAUCUUGUGUUAAUAUGAUUUGAAGAAAAAAAUUUAAUUUCCCGCCACAAGUGAGUGUUCUUCACGACUGUUCCGUGCGUGCGAGCGAAGCCGCUCGUGUCGCUGGGGCGGUGAGCUCCCCGACCACUUUCACUGCUCUUCGUUACGAAUAAAGAAUCAAUCUAUACUACUCUUUUACAUUGCAGCUCCGUUCGAAGCUCUUGUUCGUUCGCGUUUUUCCGGCGACUCCAGUUUGGAAAAUUUUCAUUGGGUAAAAUUUUACAGAAGGGCUACCUUUUCCGGUAAAUUGGACGGAAAAUUUACCUUAAAAUUUGUCAGCAAAACAACCCGGAAAAUCCAUCGGGGGUUGAGAGUCUGAGACUCGAUUUCUAAUCUCCUCCUUCCCUCUUCCCCGCCGAUCACUCCUCCUUCUCUCCUUCUCAUCUCAUUCCUCAUCAGCUCCUGCCCUCUUCCCCGCCGAUUACCUGUGGAAUCGUUCUCUCCUCCUUCUCUCCUUCUCAUCUCAGAGCAGAUCUGUUCUCUCCUCCUUCUCUUCUCCUUGACGAUAACUUUCGAAACCAACGGUAUCACAUGAUCAAAGACUCUAUCUCCUUGGCACACGUGAUUCAAACCUGCGCACGAACCAGGCAACUGACCAAAGCUGCCAGCACAGUGUGACUUUAUUGUGCUUGUGCACACUCGCGUGCUGGUGUGUGUUUCUUCAGAUGGCAAGUCGAUUGUUGGCUGGAAUGGAGGUUCCCUUGAUUGGUACCAAUGAUGUGAAGUGGAUUGAGGUAUCUGUUCCUUCGUCAUCUCCUCCCGGUGCCACUGCUGUUGUCUCCUCUUCGGUGUCUUCGCAUCCUUGCACUCCCCUCACAAAGGAUGCUACCUCUUGCCAUAUUGUCGGGGAUUCUUCCCAUUAUAUAAUAUGGAGAAUUCACGAGAGUUUACCUAAUGUAGUUGAAUUAGUUGAAACCUCUGCAUGCAAUGAAUUCCCCAGGAUUGGACUGCGUCUCAUUUUCCCUCAUGCACUAAGUCCAUUUGCUUUUAUAUGCAAAGAUGAGGUUAAAAGCAGUGUUGGGAACUCAUACCUGCUUUAUGCAUUAGAAGUCUCAGGAGUUGCUUACCUUCUUAAACUAAGGAAAAUUUGUACUUAUGCAUCUUGCUCCCCUUUCCCGCGGAGUGAUCUUAUAGAGUUCAAUGUUCAAACUCAUCCACAAGUUGGAGCAGUAACUGCUGUAGCAGCUACAGUGGGUUGCCUAGUUAUUGGAAGACAGGAUGGAUCAAUUAGCUGCUACCGACUUGGUGCAUUCGAUCAAACUCCUCUUGAUCUCAUGCAAGAACUGCGAGAUGAUGUUGGGAUUGGUCGCAUCUGGGGACUUAUGUCAAGGGUCAGGAGUACUGGAGCUGUGCAGGAUCUAAUAAUAUCAGAGGUGCAUGGAAGAAAAUUACUUUUUGUGCUUCAUUCUGAUGGGAGCUUACGAGUAUGGGAUCUUUUAAGUCGUGUUAGACUUUUCAAUCAUACUAUUACCAUUCCGACAUUGACAGGAGAUUCAGCUACAAAGUUACGUGUGGGUGAUGUCGACAAUACCAGUCUAAUUUCUGUUGCAAUCUUAUAUAGUACUAUGGAACUGGAUGCGAAGUUGGUUGCAACUUUUAAGCUCUCUUUUACGAUGGGUGAAAAAAUCAAUUUGUCACUUGAUCCUUCAAUAACAACUAUCCCUUUGGAGGGAAGAAUCAUUGACUUUGUUAUUUCAUCCAAAAAGCUUUGGAUUCUUAAAGAUGAUGCAUUGAUGUUAUAUGAUUUGGUUCAUACAAGUGAUUCUAAGGAGGAAGUAUACAGUUAUGCUUUGCAGGAUAUCUUUCUUGCUGAUCAGCUAUUCCAAGAUGUUGAAGAUUCUUCUGAUGACUUGAUCUGGUUUAGUCAUUCAUUAAUUUCUUCAUUGAAGGACCAAGUUGUUCCGUUUGUGUCAUCUAUUUUCUUGCGUAGGCUGCUUUACCCUGGUGUGCUUCAAGGUGUUGCUCUGCGUGAAACAAUGCAAGAGUACAACAAGCACUGGACUGAUUCUGAGUUUCAAUCCUUAACUGUUGAUGACUUGAAAAAGGAGAUCCUUUAUCUUAUUGAGAGUGAGGCUGUUGCUGAAUAUCCAAUGUCAGUAAUUUAUUGCUGGAAAAAUCUUUGCACUCGCUACUUCCAUUAUUGGUGUAAAAACAAUAAACCAUAUGGUUUUCUGGUUAAUUCAACAGGAGCGGUUGGUUUAAUAAGAAAAAACUCAAUAUCCAUAUUCCGUCGUUUGGAGGAUAUUGAGUUGCUAAUAAAUGUUUCUGGGGAACAGAGUGAUUUUGUAAGCUCUGGCUUGGAUUUGCCAGAUGAUAAUCUUGAUCGUGAAGUUCUUUUUGAAGUGCUAAGAUUUUCUAGUAGCAUCAGGCAGCAACUAGGGAAAGCUGCCGUUGCUAUAUAUUAUGAAUCACUUGUCAGUGCAUCUACCAUCUCGUCCGAAGAAAUUGUUGCUUUCUUGCUGAAGAUUCUGGAAACUGGAGACAGUUCAUCAAUGAAAGCAGCCCAUAUUUCGCAACUUGGAGCCAAUAGAUCUUGGGGAAAGAAACUAGCAGAUCAUAAAAAGCAGAGGCAAUUCUCCAUUGACAUGUUAUUGUCACUUCAUGCUUUGUGCAAUAAGGCUACCACAGGAGGCAGAGUAUUGGAUGUGAUAGAGAACUACCUUAAGUUUCUUGUCCCUCGAAAAACCAUGGAUAGAUUGGAUUCGGAGGCAAGCUUUGGUAUCAACACAUCAAUAUUAGUUCAGGCCACUUCUCAAGUUGCAAAAGUGAUGUUUGAAUCUACUUUUGACAUACUUUUAUUGUUGGGGUAUCUGAUGAACACCAAUGGGCAGGUCCUCAUGGCGCACAGUGAUAUCUCCAGAAUACAACUUGAACUGAUUCCAAUGAUACAUGAAACCCUUGCUGAGUGGCUUAUCCUCCAUUUUUUGGGAACUACUCCUUCCGAAUCACCAGCCUUGGAGGAUUUCAAUUCUCGACUUUCAUCACUGCACAUUGGUAGCCACAAUGAUACGAAUUCAUGGAAUGAAAUGCUUGGCACGCGGGACUUUACGCUAGCUUGUAUACUCAUGCCUAAUUUCAGAAGUUCCUUUGAGGAGCAUGGCAAUAUUUCUUCAAGAUAUUUUACUAGCCCUGAAAAUAUCAUCAGUUCCAUGCGGAACUUCUGCAGCUGGAUUAUAUGGGGCAGGACUGGAGAAGAAAAAACUUCCUUGUUCAGUCGUAUUUCUGAACUUGCGCUUGUCCUCCUUAGGCAUGGUCAAUGUGAAGCUGUUGAGAACCUGCUUGCAAUUAUCGAUGCACAUUCACGAAAAGAGAAGAUAUCCCAGAGUGUUCAGACUACCGAUGGUGAAUGGUGCAUGCAUUUUCAUCUCCUUGGAUGUUGUCUUCUCGCAAGGGCACAAUUUGGAUUUCAAGAAAUUUCAAAGCAAAGGAAAGUUCAUGAAGCAGUUUGCUGUUUCUUUAGAGCUUCAUGUGGACAAGGGGCUUACCGGGCCUUGCGUGAUCUGUCUCUGCAAACAGGCUCCCAUUCUGGUUCCGGUUGGGACUCUGCAGCAGCAUGGAAGCUUCAUUAUUAUCAAUGGGCAAUGCAGACUUUUGAGCAAUAUAAUCUGAGUGAGGGUGCUUGCCAGUUUGCUUUUGCUGCCCUGGAGCAAAUUGAUGAAGCACUUAGAUUGUGCAAUGAUACUGCUGAAGAUCUUCUUUCUGAGCCUGCAACUGUUAUUAGAGGGAGGCUCUGGGCAAAUAUCUUCAAGUUUACCUUAGAUCAGAACCACUAUUAUGAUGCAUAUUGUGCGAUAAUUUCCAACCCCGAUGAAGAUAGCAAAUAUAUUUGUCUGAGGCGUUUAAUAAUUGUUCUUUGUGAGCGUGGUGCCAGUAAGACUCUUUGUGAUGGUCAACUACCAUUUAUUGGGUUAACAGAAAAGUUGAGGCAAGAGCUUGUCUGGAAGUUAGGUGAGUGUUGGGCCCUCUAUCACUUGGACCCGCCCUCAGUUGCCCAUGUCGUCCAUGUCUGUGACAUGUCAAAGGCCGAGCGCUCGGAUUCUGCAGCAAACCCAAACCCGUACCGAUUGCUUUAUGCUUUUGAAAUGCAUCGAAACAACUUUCGGAGAGCAGCUAGUUACAUAUACCGAUAUUCAGACCGUCUGAGAACUGAAGCAACCUCAAAUGCACCCCAGCAGAUUCCCUCGACUCUGCAGGAGAGGCUUAAUGCACUCUCUGCAGCUAUCAAUGCUCUGCAUCUUGUUCAUAUUGCAUAUUCUUGGAUUGACCCACAGAUUGAAGGUUACUCUUGCCUGGAUGAGCACCAUCCAAGUAAAAGGCCUAGAAAUUUUGUAGACAAGAGCUCUAUGGACAACAAUGGCUUUCAAGCUCAGGGACUGCAAUGUUAUAUCGAUAUUGAGAAAAUAGAGAGAGAGUUUCUAUUGACAUCAGCUCAAUAUUUACUUUGGCAGGCAAAUAUGAAAUCACCAUUUACAGGUAAUCAAGUACUUCCAUUAGAUGUUGUGGAUAUGCUAGUCCUGACAGACUUAUAUGAUAUGGCAUUUACACUUCUUCUGAAGUUUUGGAAAGGUUCAGGAUUGAAGAGGGAGCUUGAACGAGUCUUUGUUGCUAUGUCAAAAAAAUGUUGCCCAAAUGGAGUGGGUUCCCCAUAUAGAGGGAAUGAUAUCAGAACACAUGGUCUUCUGUUGGCAUCAUCAGAGGAUGAAACAUUUAUUCAAAGUCCUUUUCAUACAUGCCAUUCUACUCAUCAGUUGAGAGUGCUCUCUCAGUGGGAAGCGCUUGAAGUUUAUCUGGAAAAAUAUAAGAAGUUGCACCCACGAUUACCUGUCAUUGUUGCUGAAACGCUACUGGAAACUGACCCUCAAAUUGAAUUGCCUCUUUGGCUAGUACAUAUGUUCAAGGGUGGUAGAACGGCAGUCUGUUGGGGGAUGACUGGACAGGAAGCAGACCCUGCAUCUUUACUUCGUCUAUACGUUGAUUAUGGCAGAUAUGCAGAAGCCACAAAUCUGGUCCUUGAGUUUAUAGAGUCCCUUGCAUCUCUUAGACCAGCAGAUAUAAUUAAACGGAAAAAGAUAUCUGCUGUUUGGUUCCCAUACACUGUGGUUGAGCGCCUAUGGUGCCACCUGGAAGAGUUGAGCAAUGCAGGCCAAAUGAAUGAUCAAUGUGACAAACUCAAGAAGCUGCUACAUGGAGCUCUGUUGAACCAUCUCACACUAAUGAAGGUGGACUCACAUGAUGCCCAGGGGUCUGCACUCUGUUAAGAAGCUUCAGGAAGUUUCUUCUCUGUUGGAUCUAGAUCCAGAUCUAACACAUCAUAGAAAUGAGAGCAAAUAUAGAUUCACUUAAAGAUUAAAUGUCUACAUCAAGUGUCAAUGAUAGGAACCUUGUUGGACUAAAGUGUAGAUGUGAUGGAAAAGCUGGUGUGAAGAUCUCAGUGACCGUGGGUAAUCCAAACAGUAUUUUAUGGCUGUCAGACAUCAUAUAUGCAAAUACUUCUCUUAGUGUGAUCCCAUUAAUGCACCAAGAACAGUGGAGUUUGUGAACACAGAAGAACCAAUAAUUGUUCCCAUUCAUGAUUUGGAAGAGUUGAAAGAGAUUAAAUGAAUUGGAGAGGUUUAAUGGGUCACUAAAAGCAUCAAUAGUUCAUCCCAAUCCUGAUUUGGAAGAGUUGAAAGAGAUUGAAUGAAUUGGAGAAGUUUAAUGGAUCACUGAAGAUUGUCAUUAGUUUUCUUUGUUGGUGUCUUUGUAGCAAUAAUUGUAAAAAAAGUUUGAUGACCUUGAUCAAUGUUUUUGGUACUUGAAAGGGAACACAUUCCAGUUGUAAUUAAGUACUUAGCUUUUGUUA